rnacentral:rRNA from 1 species
GCUACGGGUGACUGCAGUGGGGAAUAUUGGGCAAUGGGCGCAAGCCUGACCCAGCAACGCCGCGUGAAGGAAGAAGGCUUUCGGGUUGUAAACUUCUGUUCUGAGGGACGAAGAAAGUGACGGUACCUCAGGAAUAAGCCACGGCUAACGACGGGCCAGCAGCCGCGGUAAUACGUAGGUGGCAAGCGUUAUCCGGAUUUAUUGGGUGGAAAGGGCGUGUAGGCGGGAAAGCAAGUCAGAUGUGAAACCUCAGGGCUCAACCCUGAGCCUGCAUUUGAAACUGUUUUUCUUGAGUGCUGGAGAGGCAAUCCGCCUUCCGUUUGUAGCGGUGAAAUGCGUAGAUAUACGGAGGAACACCAGUGGCGACGGCGGAUUGCUGGACAGUAACUGACGCUGAGGCGCGAAAGCGUGGGGAGCAAACAGGAUUAGAUACCCUUGUAGUC